rnacentral:rRNA from 1 species
UAGGGAAUCUUCGGCAAUGGGGGGAACCCUGACCGCGCAACGCCGCGUGAGUGAAGAAGGAUUUCGGUUCGUAAAACUCUGUUGUUAGAGAAGAACAGCGCAUAGAGUAACUGUUAUGGGUGUGACGGUACUUAACCAGAAAGGGACGGCUAACUACGUGCCAGCAGCCGCGGUAAUACGUAGGUCCCGAGCGUUGUCCGGAUUUAUUGGGCGUAAAGCGAGCGCAGGCGGUUAGAAAAGUCUGAAGUGAAAGGCAGUGGCUCAACCAUUGUAGGCUUUGGAAACUGUUUAACUUGAGUGCAGAAGGGGAGAGUGGAAUUCCAUGUGUAGCGGUGAAAUGCGUAGAUAUAUGGAGGAACACCGGUGGCGAAAGCGGCUCUCUGGUCUGUAACUGACGCUGAGGCUCGAAAGCGUGGGGAGCGAACAGG